rnacentral:misc_RNA from 1 species
CAGAGUUGCAAAACUCCCUUAAACCAUCGCGAACGUACCCGUACAUGUUGCUUCGGCGGCCGGCUCCAGGGCGGAGUCUUCUAGCCUUCACCGGCGACCGCCGGAGUGCCUAUACUCCAAACUAUUAUCUUCGUGGGCCUCUCUGAGUAAUACUAUAAUAAGUAA